rnacentral:rRNA from 1 species
UACGUAGGGGGCUAGCGUUGUCCGGAAUCAUUGGGCGUAAAGAGCGUGUAGGCGGUCCGGUAAGUCCGUUGUGAAAGUCAGGGGCUCAACCCUUGAAUGCCGGCGGAUACUGUCGGGCUAGAGUCCGGAAGAGGCGAGUGGAAUUCCCGGUGUAGCGGUGAAAUGCGCAGAUAUCGGGAGGAACACCUAUGGCGAAGGCAGCUCGCUGGGACGGUACUGACGCUGAGACGCGAAAGCCAGGGGAGCAAACGGG